rnacentral:rRNA from 1 species
UGAGGAAUAUUGGACAAUGGGCGCAAGCCUGAUCCAGCCAUGCCGCGUGCAGGAUGAAGGCCUUCGGGUUGUAAACUGCUUUUGUACGGAACGAAAAGACUCCUUCUAAUAAAGGGGGUCCAUGACGGUACCGUAAGAAUAAGCACCGGCUAACUACGUGCCAGCAGCCGCGGUAAUACGUAGGGUGCGAGCGUUAAUCGGAAUUACUGGGCGUAAAGCGUGCGCAGGCGGUUAUAUAAGACAGAUGUGAAAUCCCCGGGCUCAACCUGGGAACUGCAUUUGUGACUGUAUAGCUAGAGUACGGCAGAGGGGGAUGGAAUUCAGCGUGUAGCAGUGAAAUGCGUAGAUAUGCGGAGGAACACCGAUGGCGAAGGCAAUCCCCUGGGCCUGUACUGACGCUCAUGCACGAAAGCGUGGGGAGCAAACA